rnacentral:ncRNA from 1 species
UUCUGCCCAGUGCCCUGAAUAUCAAAGUGAAGAAGUUCAAUGACAUGUGGAUAAAUGGCGGGAGUAACUACAAUUCUCCUUAAGAGAAGCCAAACAUUUUGUCAUCCAAUCAGGGAAAUGCAUGAACGAA